AUCGAACGCUGGCGGCAGGCUUAACACAUGCAAGUCGAACGAGUGGCGGACGGGCGAGUAAUGCUUGGGAAUCUAGCUCAUGGAGGGGGACAACUACGGGAAACUGUAGCUAAUACCGCGUACCACAGGAUGAGCACUAGUGGGUUUAGCUAGUUGGUGGGGUAAAGGCGCACCAAGCCGACGAUCACUAGCCGACCUGAGAGGUUGACCAGCCACACUGGGACUGAGACAGGGCCCAGACUCCUACGGGAGGCAGCAGUAGGGAAUAUUGCGCAAUGGGGGCAACCUGACGCAGCCAUGCCGCGUGAAUGAAGAAGGCCUUCGGGUUGUAAAGUUCUUUCGGUAGCGAGGCGUUAACUACAGAAGAAGCACCGGCUAACUCCGUGCCAGCAGCCGCGGUAAUAC
rnacentral:rRNA from 1 species